rnacentral:tRNA from 1 species
GUCCCUGUAGCUUACAACAAAGCAUAACACUGAAGAUGUUAAGACGGCUGAUUCAAUACACCCAAGGACA